rnacentral:rRNA from 1 species
CCUACGGGGUGCAGCAGUGAGGAAUAUUGGUCAAUGGGCGGAAGCCUGAACCAGCCAAGUCGCGUGAGGGAAUAAGGCCCUACGGGUCGUAAACCUCUUUUGCCGGGGAGCAAGGGCCGGGACGAGUCCCGGUCCGGAGAGUACCCGGAGAAAAAGCCUCGGCUAACUCCGUGCCAGCAGCCGCGGUAAUACGGAGGAUGCGAGCGUUCUCCGGCUUUAUUGGGUUUAAAGGGUGCGUAGGCGGGCUUUUAAGUCAGCGGUAAAAAUUCGGGGCUCAACCCCGGCCGGCCGUUGAAACUGGGGGCCUUGAGUGGGCGAGAAGAAGGCGGAAUGCGUGGGGUAGCGGUGAAAUGCAUAGAUAUCACGCAGAACCCCGAUUGCGAAGGCAGCCUUCCGGCGCCCGACUGACGCUGAGGCACGAAAGUGCGGGGAUCGAACAGGAUUAGAUACCCUUGUAGUC